CGGCGCUCAUGUCCAAGUAGCCAAGGAUUGGGAGCUUUUCACGGUUGACGACGUUGAUCUUACCAGCAUCGCUGCUGAAGAAAUCGGCGUGGAGUGGUUUCUCCAGGUUGUGCUUGAUCUUCAUGCUGCAGUAGGUCUCUUCGAUUCCGUUUUCUUCGUCGUUGAUGUUGUACCUGCCUCCUUUAGAUUGGCGCCACCUGUCCAUCUCCUGCAUCUGUUGUUCUUCCUCGGUAACGAAGCUCAUCUGUUCCUGGCAUCUGACGAUACUACCCCUGUUGUCGUUCUGCAUCCUCCUGACGGUCUCCGUUGGAACGUUGAACGCCUCGGCGAUCAGCUCCUCGUCGAAUCCUUGAAAGACGUUGGCUGAUGACAUAAGUGACUGCCCACCAGCUUCCCUUCCUUCCCCUAUCUGGUAAGUCCUCCUCCCCCAUGUCUGCCUGCUCUGCCUUUGCUGAUCGGAUUGCCCUCCUCCCAGCAAGAACCGCUGAAAACAGAGCAUCGUCAGCUCUCGGAAAAAAACUGAGCAUCGUCGUAUAGUACUUAGCGAUCCAAAUUAGUGGCAAGUGAGGAAGUUAAUAUAGAGAGUGAGGGAAGUGGACCCUGAGGUUUUGAUCGAGCUGGUUGUCGUCGUUGUUGAGGUCAACAAGGGUGACGUAGACGAGGUCCUGGUUACCGUCGUUGUAGCCCCAAGUAGCAACGCCGGCAGGGAUGGCGAUGACGUCACCCUCGCGAAUCCUGUGGAUCUUUUGGUGCUCGUCUCCUCCGCUUCCUCCCAUCAUCCUCCUCGAUCCCCUCUGCUGUUGUCCUUGUGCCUGCCCGCUGUGGUACAUCGCCGGGCAUCCCGGGAAGUUCAACCCCAACACUCCGCUCCCUGUACAAAAAAAUUUCAAAUUUCAAAAUAUCUUAGGGUGUGUGUGGAUAGGUGAAUUUGCAUUGUGGGUAUUUCAAAUUCAAAAAUGUACCUUGUUGGACAUAGACGAGGCGAGGGGCGGGGAAGAACUUGGGGACGGAGAGGGAUUGGGGCUGGAUGCAAUCACGGAACGGAGCGACGCCGGCGCAGAUGAACUGUUCCUCGUGGGGGUUCCACAUCUCGGUGACUCCACCUUCGGAUUGCAGGUGGAAGUUAGGCUGGACUGGGGAGAUGCGGUCGAGGUUGCAUUGCUGAGCCAGGUACUCCAGAGGAGUGAUCGUCGUCCGGCCUUGAUCGUGCUCGGCGGAAGUGGCGGCGGCGGCGAGACAAGAGAGGACAAGGAAUGCGGCGGCUAGUUUGGUUGCCAUCAUGAGUAAAUAAAGCUGAAGUUGGAGAUGAUGGAGUGAAGUCGGAGAAGGGCGGGAGGGUUUUUAUAUAGUAGCAUAGCCGGCGGUGCAUGGUAAUUGCAUGGCGUAAGAAGAAGAGUAAACAAAUGAUAAAGGUGACACAUUGCCAAUGGAGGGGGAAUGAGGUGGUGAUGAGUUCUUGAGUAGGUGGCGGUGUGGCGCCUGAGAAUCAUUUUCGGCCCACCAUUUGUCUGAAGAAAACUAACACCACCUCCUCUGCAUCUGCUCUGUUUGUCUGAGCUUCGCUUCGUCAUAUCUCACUUUGUUUCGUGUUUGUGUCAGUCUCGGCGGUGGAAAUUUGGGGUUCUCGUUCUUCAUCGUCAACGGUGAAAGAUGAUGUUUUUACUACAUCCAUCAUUAUAAGCUGAUAGAUGGAUCAAAUGGCAAGGGAUUGAAGUUUACGCUGAUGAGUUUUAUACCCCCUACAAAUUGAACAAUUACUAUAUGCAUACUAUACUAGUAUCAAUCAUUUUUUUUGUGAAAAAAUGGUACCGAAGCGCGCUGAAAUAUCAUUAAAAUUUUCAUUUUAUUUUAGAUAGCGAGAUACUUAUAAGACCAUAAUGUAUGGGACGGGCCUUGAUCCGGAGAAUAAAAAAACGCAAACUAUAAUCAAAACAAUUGUCUAAGUUAGUCAAAUAAUUCGUAUCAUUAUUAACUUCGCGGUAAAUAUGGGACAACUCCACUUCCCAUUGAUGACUAAAGUUACUUGACUUGAAUUGCAAAACAAGGAUGGCAUGUUUGUUACAUAGCCAUACAUUACUGUUUACUAAUAGUUUAAAGACUAAAUACCAUCUUUGUUUUUCAUCCACAACACCCAUUUCACAUAGCCAUACUGGUAUUAUUCUCUAGAGAAUGGUCGGUUUAUAAACCAACUCCGAGGUGGAUGAGGAUGAAGGUGAAGAAAAAGAAAGUAUCUGGAUGUUAAAGUUUAAUUGCCCAAAAAGAAAUACUCAUUAAGUGUAAGACCCACAAUCAUUGCUUAGCAUGGUGCUUUACAACAUUGCUCGUUGCAGCAGCCAUUACUUUAUUGACGACACAUAAUUUGAAAAGUUAAAAGAAAAACAGAGAAGAUAUGUGAAGAAGGUUUCUGAAGUACUUUCAGUAGUCCAUCAGUUUAAACUUCUUCUUCUGAUCACCCAGCUGCCAUCAAGUCUUGAGUACUGGUUUAUGGAAUUGGAUUUUUAUGAUCUAAUUAAGCAAGGGCAGUGCAGAGCCAUUGGCCAACAAAGAUAGUAGCGCAGUUGAUGUUAGGAUUGAUUGUCAAAAAAUCCUUCAGUUUCAGCCCAAACUGCCCUGCCACCGAUGUGCAUGUGUCUCCACCUUGUGUUCCAUAAACUGUGCUGCACUCCAGUUUAGGCGUAGCCUGAGCCAACCUUCGCCCGCCACUCAUCAUUGCUGUAUAUAAAUAUAUGAAUUAUAAGUUAGGGAUGAAAAGUCUUAAGAAAUUUAGAUUGCAAUUUGUUUUCGCAACAUAUUUCGUCGAAAUACUCAAAAUUUCAUUUAACUUUCCACCUAUCAAACUUAGCGAAUACAACUAUAUAUAUAAGUACAGAGCACUUACCAGUGGUACUGAGAACCAGAGUGGAGAUAAGAAGAAACAUAAUGAUGGUUUUGGUGCUGACGGUUGCCAUAGUAGCGGUGAUCUUGGUUUCUUUUUCUUCUCCUUUCUCUUUUGUUUCUCAAGGUUGUGUAGGAUUGGUUUGAAGAAUAUGAUAAGCUCUGUCCUUUUUAUAGUCGGAAAAUUGUAUGUUGUAAUUUGGAGGAGGAGAUGGAAACAAUGGAGCUGGCACGGGCGGCGGUAACAUUAAUUUCUCAGUCCGGCGAGGACGACAAGGGCAAACAUACACACAGGGGAUUAAUCUUCAUACGUACGGAGAUAACAAGGUGAUCAAAUGAGCAUGUUGUUCACAGGCUUAGUUAUUUUAUUGUGGAAUUUAUUCUUCUGAUGAAAGUUGCAUAGAAGUUUACGAAAAAAUACUUGUGAGUCUCAGACUUGAGUAACUAGCUCUAAUAAGAAGUAUCAAAGCUUCUUCAUUUGAUCCACACACAGUGGUGCGACGGUUUUCGAAGGCCCUGUGUCAAAAUUUAAAUUGUGGCCUAAAAUAAAAGUUUUGUGGAUUUUUAUUAUUUGUAUUAUUAAUUAUAAUAAAAAUUGAGAUUUUUAUUAUAAUCCACCACCGGCAACACUAUCAUCAGCUCUUCAGAGUUCUUCUGCAGUCUAGGCUUCACGUAGCCACUUAGCUGCUAUGUGUUCCUAUUCUGAGGUCACCUUGACCCUCAGAGAAGCGUCCCACUUAUGUGUGUUCUUGUCCGCCGGGAUGGUGAAUAGCAAGUCACAAUAUUUGUCGGUAUGACGCUGGAUCCACAUAUGUAAUAGAACGUUUGCAAACGUUCAUACUUAUACUUGCAGGUUGCGCUAACAUCAUCGUGUAGCAGUACCUUCUUUUCCCGGCGUAGAGGCUUACGGGUAUCUAACUCCACACGAAUUUGCAUAUAUGCUCCGGCUUUGAAUUGCUUAUGGUUCAACUGGUCAUAUGAAUGAUAGUGGCCAUCAAAAUUUCCUAGGAAACGACCAACCUCCUCCAAGAAGUAUCCCCAUGGGAGUCGAUGGAUUUGGAUCCAAAAGGGGACACGAUGCAGUUCUACCAGCUUUGGAUCCUCACCCUCUUUGAGUUUCUGCAAGAUCAGCAAGGAUCUGUUGUAGUGCCAAGGACCUUUAGCCAUAACCCGUUUCACAUCCAGCUCGUGACGGAAACAAAACAAGUAACGACCGCCAUGCAGAUCUUCGACCGUCAUUGUGCGCCCUGGCUUCCAACUUAUGGCCAUGGUUCGUUUCAUGGCAACGAAAUUUAUUUGCUUGUCACCAAGAAACGAGCCAACGAGACAUAGUGGGUAUGCAUGUGAAGGAGGAACGGGAACUAGUUCCGUUACCGAUGAUUCCUCGUCUUCGCUUUCUCCGAGAUUCAAGUUCUGUACCAGAAGCGUGACGAGCGCGCUUGAAUCAUCCUCCAAAAGCUCCUGCCUUGCGAUCGGUAGUGUUGUUGGACCUUUGCUUGGCUUCAUCGGAGGAGCAACUCCGCGAGCCACCGUCCACAGAGACGAUUUCUUUAGCUCGAGGCUUGUGGUAGUCUCCAACGUUUUGGAAGUUCCGGUUGUAGCUCUAGCUGCGUCGGCUUCGGUGGCUUUGGUGGGUGGUGGGGUCUGAAUCUGGAGCUAGAGAAUUGGAAAACAGCUUUCGGAUUCGAUCUAGAAAGUCCGCAUAAAUCUCAACCGUCCAAAAAUCAUAUAUUAGAUCUAACGGCUGAUAUAUAAGGGCAAACUUGACAUUACAUAACCAUACAAAUGUGUAUACUAAUUAUUGAACUAAUACAAUAUUUAGUAUUUACACUUUGUACAAAAAUUCAUAUAAAUGUAUAUACACUUAUGUCCAUGUUUAUACAAACCUAUACACAUUUGCAUGAUCCGUGCAAAGCUGUACAGUCGGUGGUUGUAAAAUAUUUAUAAAAAAAAUCUUUUUCCAAAUACGUAGAAUCGACGUGCCGGUGAUCAUGUGGGUGCAAAAAUUGUUAUUAACAGAAGUAUGAAUCAGCGUGAAAUUGAUUGGAAAUUUUCUGAUCAUCGGAGACGCUAGUCCAGUAUUCGAAGAUAGUUGGGUUCUUGUCUAACGAAAUCUUGAUAUGUCGGAUGAUAGUUGGGUUGUUGUCCAAUAAAAAAUCUAAAACAACAACGACCAUAUUGCCUCCGAUCAACAUUAACCCUUAAAUCAUGUGAAAAUUCAAAGGUCUAGAUUGUUUAUGGAUCGGAGCUAAUCUAGAUGCAAUAUCCCUGCUCCCGACUCCCAUUCUCUAGUUACAAAUUACAAUACAAAUUUAGUGACAACUUGUCAACAUGACUGCGUAAGAAGAAAGCAGUGUAGGAAUCCUCUGCCUCCUCUGCCUACUCUUGAAGAAAUGUACACUCCGAGCGUAAGAAGUAAGCUAGCUCAACUCAGC
rnacentral:lncRNA from 1 species